UACGGAGGGGGCAAGCGUUGUUCGGAAUUACUGGGCGUAAAGGGCUCGUAGGCGGCCAACUAAGUCAUACGUGAAAUCCCUCGGCUUAACCGGGGAACUGCGUCUGAUACUGGAUGGCUUGAGAUUGGGAGAGGGAUGCGGAAUUCCAGGUGUAGCGGUGAAAUGCGUAGAUAUCUGGAGGAACACCGGUGGCGAAGGCGGCAUCCUGGACCAACACUGACGCUGAGGAGCGAAAGCCAGGGGAGCAAACGGG
rnacentral:rRNA from 1 species